rnacentral:sRNA from 1 species
GGCUGUGCUGGAGAAGUACUGCGAGGCCUCUGGACAGUUCAUCCAUCAGGCAGUUGGCAUCAUUGAGGCUGUUCUGGAGAAGUUUGGAACCUAUGAACACUUUGAGGCUGCCACUGGGGGGCAGCUGCUCACCAAGUGCCAGAUAUGGUCGAUUGUGCGCAAAUACAUGCAGAAGGAGGGCUGCGUCGGGGAGGUGAGCUUGCCUGCAGAGCCCUUCCUCUACAUGCCCCAAAUCAGGGUGUCUUGUGGGCGGUCCCAGGUCCAGCUCCACACCUGACCCACCCCUGCCCCUGCCCCAGUGAGGUGGGAGCUGGUUCUGAGCAGAGGUGAUGAAGGGUGGGUGCCCUGGCCAAUUGUCUGGCCUCGCUGCCCUGUGGCAUCAUUGGGUCCACCUGCACCGUGGCCCCAGGCUGGUGGCCAUGGCUCAGAGCACUGCCACCUGCAGGUUGUGGUGCAGCUGAGUGAGGACCUGCUGUCCCAGGCAGUGAUGAUGGUGGAGAACAGCCGGCCCACAUUGGCGAUCAACC